AAGUAUAUGCAUAUUUUAUAUGUAGAAACUGCGAACGGCUCAUUAAAACAGUUAUAAUCUACUUGACAUUUUUUCUAUAAGGAUAACUACGGAAAAGCUGUAGCUAAUACUUGCUUUCAGCACUCUUGAUUAAGUUCUUGAGUGUGUACUUGUUAAGCCUUUUAAGAAAAAAGUUAUUAACUUAAGGAAUUAUAACAAAGAAGCAACACGUAAAUGGAUUUUCCAUUUUUUAGUGUGUAUCAAUCGAGUUUCUGACCUAUCAGCUUUUGAUGUUAGGGUAUUGGCCUAACAUGGCUAUGACGGGUAACGGGGAAUUAGAGUUCGAUUCCGGAGAGGGAGCCUGAGAAAUAGCUACCACAUCUAAGGAAGGCAGCAGGCGCGUAAAUUACCCAAUUCUAAAGAAGAGAGGUAGUGACAAGAAAUAACAAUACAAGGCCAAUCUGGCUUUGUAAUUGGAAUGAUGGGAAUUUAAAACCUUCCCAAAACUCAAUUGGAGGGCAAGUCUGGUGCCAGCAGCCGCGGUAAUUCCAGCUCCAAUAGCGUAUAUUAAAAUUGUUGCAGUUAAAACGCUCGUAGUUGAAUUUCAAAGAAUCGAUAUUUUAAGUAGCACUUUGUAGAUUAAUCCACAUAACUGAUACUACGUAUCGACUUUGUGGUAUUUUUCUACUUAUGUGUUCUUUUAAUUAAAAUGAUUCUUUUUAAGAUCUUUCUUUUUUGCUUCGGCAUUUUAGGAGAUCUUGUUACUUUGAGUAAAUUAGAGUGUUCAAAGCAAACAGAUUAUAGCAUCUUUAUGCGUUUGAAUACUACAGCAUGGAAUAACAAAAUUGAACAAGUCAGAAUUUUGUUCUUUUUUCUUAUUUUGGCUUAGUUACGAUUAAUAGGAGUAGCUUGGGGGCAUUUGUAUUCAGAUGUCAGAGGUGAAAUUCUUAGAUUUUCUGGAGACAAACAACUGCGAAAGCAUUUGCCUAAAAUACUUCCAUUAAUCAAGAACGAAAGUUAAGGGAGUGAAGACGAUCAGAUACCGUCGUAAUCUUAACCAUAAACUAUGCCGACUAGGCUUUGGAUGAAAGAUUUUAAAAUAAGAGUUUUUUCUCUGAGGAGUUAAAACUCUUAGAUUGCUUCCUUCAGUGCCUUAUGAGAAAUCAAAGUCUUUGGGUUCUGGGGCGAGUAUUCGCGCAAGCGAGAAAGUUAAAAGAAUUGACGGAAGGGCACCACCAGGCGUGGAGCUUGCGGCUUAAUUUGACUCAACACGGGAAAACUCACUAGUUUAAGACAAGAGUAGGAUUGACAGAUUAAUAGCUCUUUCUUGAUUUCUUGGAUGGUGAUGCAUGGCCGUUUUUAGUUCGUGAAUAUGAUUUGUCUGGUUAAUUCCGAUAACGAACGAGAUCUUAACCUGCUAAUUAGCGGCAAAUACGAUAUAUUCUUAUGUGGAAUUGAAUAUAGUUGAUUUGCUUAUUUUGAAGAAAAUAUUGGGAUACGUAAAUGUAUCCCUUUCCCUUUUCUACUUAAUUUGCUUAUCAUACUAUUUCUUUUUUGGGUAAGAAUGUAUUUGCUUGAUUGUAAAGCUUCUUAGAGGAACGAUGUGUGUCUAACACAAG
rnacentral:rRNA from 1 species